UUCUGCUCCUGUGGUCCCUCUCUACCUGUUGGCUCCCAACUUUCAAAACUGACAACUCCUUACACAAGAAUUCAGCGCCAAGGCACCCUUUAAUAAAAGCGGCUUUUCUGCAGUCGGGAUGUAGUCUAUGAGAGAAGAAUAAAUAAAAAGAAAAAAUACAAUAAAAAUGCAGGGUUUUUUUCCCCUUUAUUUGCCUAGAACGUAGGGAUUAUACACAUCUACCAGACGUACUUUAGGUAUCUGUAUCUGGUCUUCAGAUGUUGAUUGCUGUCAUCAGAACCUUAAUUACUACCAGAUUCCUGCUGCUAUUAAAGCUGCCUCCUAUUUCCCUCAGUCGGUUCUCCUCAUACUACUUCCAGGUGAAUCUCCUAAAAUAAAUUCUUUUAAAAGGUGCUAAGAAACUCGAUGCCUCAGAAAAAAAGGACACGAAGUUAAAGCCGAGCGAGCGAGCGUUCAAGUGGAGAAGGAAGCAGAGGUACUCAAGACAAAACUG